rnacentral:rRNA from 1 species
GACAGAGGGUGCAAACGUUGCUCGGAAUUACUGGGCGUAAAGCGCGUGUAGGCGGUUUGGGAAGUCGGAUGUGAAAGCCCCGGGCUCAACCCGGGAAGUGCACUCGAUACUGCCAAGCUAGAGUGUCGGAGAGGUUGGUGGAAUUCUCGGUGUAGAGGUGAAAUUCGUAGAUAUCGAGAGGAACACCGGUGGCGAAGGCGGCCAACUGGACGAACACUGACGCUGAGACUCGAAAGCGUGGGGAGCAAACAGG